GAUGAACGCUAGCGAUAGGCCUAACACAUGCAAGUCGAGGGGCAUCACAUGAAGUAGCAAUACGGAUGGUGGCGACCGGCGCACGGGUGAGUAACACGUAUGCAACCUGCCUUCAACAAGGGGAUAACCCGUUGAAAGACGGACUAAUACCCUAUAACACAGGGGUCCCGCAUGGGAAUAUUUGUUAAAGGACAACCGGUUGAAGAUGGGCAUGCGUUCCAUUAGCUAGUUGGCGGGGUAACGGCCCACCAAGGCAACGAUGGAUAGGGGAACUGAGAGGUUUAUCCCCCACACUGGUACUGAGACAUGGACCAGACUCCUACGGGAGGCAGCAGUGAGGAAUAUUGGUCAAUGGACGCAAGUCUGAACCAGCCACGUCGCGUGAAGGAAGACGGCCCUACGGGUUGUAAACUUCUUUUGUAAGGGAAUAAAGUGUAGUACGCGUACUAUUUUGCAUGUACCUUACGAAUAAGGAUCGGCUAACUCCGUGCCAGCAGCCGCGGUAAAUACG
rnacentral:rRNA from 1 species